AUUGAACGCUGGCGGCAGGCCUAACACAUGCAAGUCGAACGAGUGGCGGACGGGUGAGUAAUGUCUGGGAAACUGCCCGAUGGAGGGGGAUAACUACUGGAAACGGUAGCUAAUACCGCAUACCAUCGGAUGUGCCCAGAUGGGAUUAGCUAGUUUGUGGGGUAACGGCUCACCUAGGCGACGAUCCCUAGCUGGUCUGAGAGGAUGACCGUCCACACUGGAACUGAGACACGGUCCAGACUCCGACGGGAGGCGGCAGUUGGGAAUCUUGCACAAUGGGCGCAAGCCUGAUGCAGCCAUGCCGCGUGUGUGAAGAAGGCCUUCGGGUUGUAAAGUACUUUCAGCGGGGAAGCGUUACCCGACGAGGAAGCACCGGCUAACUCCGUGCCAGCAGCCGCGGUAAUAC
rnacentral:rRNA from 1 species